rnacentral:rRNA from 1 species
UCCCUACGGGGUGCAGCAGGCGCGCAAACUUUACAAUGCGAGCAAUCGUGAUAAGGAAACCCUGAGUGCCUGUCGAUGCAGGCUGUUCAUAUAUCUAAAUCAUAUGUGAAGAAAGGGCAGGGCAAGACCGGUGCCAGCCGCCGCGGUAAUACCGGCUGCUCGAGUGAUGGCCACUAUUACUGGGUUUAAAGCGUCCGUAGCUUGACUGUUAGGUCUCUUGGGAAAUCUUCACGCUCAACGUGAAGGCGUCUAAGAGAUACCGGCAGUCUUGGAACUGGGAGAGGUAAACCGUACUUCGGGGGUAGGAGUGAAAUCUUGUAAUCCUCGAGGGACGACCUAUGGCGAAGGCAGUUUACCAGAACAGCUUCGACAGUGAGGGACGAAAGCUGGGGGAGCAAACGGGAUUAGAUACCCCGGUAGUCCCAGCCGUAAACAAUGUGCGUUAGGUGUGUCGGUAACCACGUGUUACUGAUGCGCCGAAGAGAAAUCGUGAAACGCACCACCUGGGAAGUAUGGUCGCAAGGCUGAAACUUAAAGGAAUUGGCGGGGGAGCACCACAACAGGUGGAGCCUGCGGUUUAAUUGGAUUCAACGCCGGACAUCUCACCGGAUAAGACAGCUGAAUGAUUGUCAAUCUGAAGGUUUUACAUGACUAGCUGAGAGGAGGUGC